rnacentral:rRNA from 1 species
GUGCCAGCAGCCGCGGUAAUACGUAGGGAGCGAGCGUUGUCCGGAUUUACUGGGCGUAAAGGGCGCGUAGGCGGUCUGUUAAGCGUGAAGUGAAAUCUCCAGGGCUCAACCCGGAAACUGCUUUGCGAACUGGCAGACUAGAGGAAGGUAGAGGUAAGUGGAAUUCCCGGUGUAGCGGUGACAUGCAUUGAUACCGGGAGGAACACCCAUGGCGAAGGCAGCUUACUGGACCUUAUCUGACGCUGAGGCGCGAAAGCGUGGGUAGCAAACAGGAUUAGAAACCCCCGUAGUCC